rnacentral:rRNA from 1 species
GGACCUGACUGCUAUCGGAUUGAUACUAAGCCAUGCGAGUCAUUGUAGUAAUACAAGGCAGACGGCUCAGUAACGCGUAGUCAACCUAACCUAUGGGCGGGAAUAACCUCGGGAAACUGAGUAUAAUGCCCGAUAGAACAUUAUGCCUGGAAUGGUUUAUGUUCCAAAUGAUUUAUCGCCGUAGGAUGGGACUGCGGCCUAUCAGUUUGUUGGUGAGGUAAUGGCCCACCAAGACUAUUACAGGUACGGGCUCUGAGAGGAGUAGCCCGGAGAUGGGUACUGAGACACGGACCCAGGCCCUAUGGGCGCAGCAGGCGAGAAAACUUUGCAAUGUGCGAAAGCACGACAAGGUUAAUCCGAGUGGUUUCUGCUAAAGGAACCUUUUGUCGGUCCUAGAAACACCGAUGAAUAAGGGGUGGGCAAGUUCUGGUGUCAGCG